rnacentral:rRNA from 1 species
AAUUAUUAAUAUAAUACUGCAAAGAGUAAUAAACCUAUUUAGUUAAAUACCUUUUGCAUAAUGGUUUAAUAAACUGUUUUAAAGAUUUAUCUUACCGAAAUUAGAAGAUCUAACUUUAUUUUAAUGUUUCAAAAUUAUAUCAAUUUUUAGUUAGGGAUGAAAAGUCUAACAAUUCUAAAGAUAUCUGUAAUAAUUUUAAAUGUAUCUAGUACAUAAUCAAUUUGAAUAAAAAAAUGUUAAGGUUUUUUUAGUUAGUAUAAUAUUUAAUAUUAUGAAUUAAUACCAAAUAAUAAAUAAUUUUAUAAUAAAUAUUUAUUGUAUCUAUAAUAAAAUUAAAUUAUAAUAUAUAAUUAAUAAAUUAUGUUAAAAUCAGUAUUAUUUAAAAUUUAAAUUUAGGAACUCGGCAAAUUAUUCAACUGUUUAUCAAAAACAUAGUCUUAUGAUAUAAGGUGAAACCUGCCCAAUGAUAAAUUAAAUGGCCGCAGUACUUUGACUGUGCUAAGGUAGCAUAAUAAAUUGACUUUUAAUUGGAGCCUAGAAUGAAAGGAUUGGUAAAUUCUGUCUUAUUUAAUUAAUAAAAAGUUACUUAAAAGGUGAAAAUACCUUUAUAUUAUAAAAUAGACGAGAAGACCCUAGGAGUUUAAAAUUUUGUUGGGGCAACAAUAUAGCAUUAUCUA